GAGAAGGGGCUGCUGAAAGCAUGAGGGGUUUCUCAUUCUCUGCACAUAGGGAACGGUGCAGCCCAGUGCUCAGCAUCCCAGCCUGCACCCCACCCUACACCUGGGACGGCCAACCUUACAAAGCGGCCAGCCCACGCCAGGGCUGGGAAUAAGUGGAAAUCAGCAGGGCUCCACCACAGCCUAACUAUGAGAGGGAGGAACAUCUCUUCUUUGAGGCAAGCCGUGGCUUUUCAGACAAAAUCUGAACAAAAGUGGACUCGAGUGAGAUAUGUCUGCUUCAGAGCAACAAGAUCCUCAGUGGGGAGCAGAGGGGCGCGUUGUGGGGGGGCAGCCAGGCUUUGGAGUCCGCAGGGCUGAGGGCUGAGGGCUGGGUUCAAGGACAGGUAAAGGCAAAUUCCCCUUAAACGUGGCCAUGAGCUGCAGGGGCAGACUGUGCUGGUUGGGGCUGGAGCCUGGCCGUGUCCCAGCCAGCAAACACUGCUCAGUGCAACAGCCAGCUUUUAUUCUUUGGUUUAUUUAGAUUCACUUCAGAAAAAAUAAAAUAAAAUAAUAGUAAUUACUUUCCAGAAGUUUGAAAUUUCCUUCAUAAACUCCAUCCAUAUAAAAAUACAAACGAUAAUAAAAUCAAGACAUUCAGUGGCCCAUCCAAUCUCAUCCUGCAGCAGAAACUGCUACUGAUUAAAAACAAAAACAAAAAAAAGAGAACAAAAAAAAAAACCCACCCACUCCACCAUUCCAGAGAGCCAGAACCAAAC